AAUGUUUCUUCGUUGAAUUUAUUUUCAAUUUAUUAUACAAAACAAUGAUUGUGUACUACGGUUUGUUACGAUAUCGUACCAUAAUUGGUCACUGAAACAAUUUCUACAUUUAAAACGAGUCAAAGGUGGUAAAAACUUAAUAACCUACAAAGAGAAGAAUGUGAUACUCUUCUCUCAAACUCGCAUCAGUAACCUAAUAUAAAACAGCGGUACAUGAUACGAAAGACAGUUGAGAUAAUACCUGCAAUUAUCCUCCUACCUCUUAGCGAAAGGAGUACAGUCAUAAACGUGCUUCACCGCCAAAAUACAAUACGACACCGACAUACUCUAUAAAGCUGCACUUUCAUUCACCCAUCAUCCCUCAUAAUUCCUCCAACGAUUUUAGAAAUCGAUGGCCACAGCCUCGAUAAUGAUGCUCAACAAGAAUACAAUACUUUUUUUCAUAAAAUAGUUUG